rnacentral:rRNA from 1 species
AAUUGGAGGGCAAGUCUGGUGCCAGCAGCCGCGGUAAUUCCAGCUCCAAUAGCGUAUAUUAAAGUUGUUGCAGUUAAAAAGCUCGUAGUUGAAUUUCGGGAUUGACGUGAUGGUCGUGCCUUAAGGGGUAUGAACUGUUGCUGUUGAUUUCUCACCUUCUGGAGAAACUUGAUGUCCUUAAUUGGGUGUCUUGCGGAUCCAGGACCUUUACCUUGAAAAAAUUAGAGUGUUUAAAGCAGGCAUUUUGCUCGAAUACAUUAGCAUGGAAUAAUAGGAUAGGACGGCAUGGUUCUAUUUUGUUGGUUUCUAGGAUCACCGUAAUGAUUAAUAGGGAUAGUUGGGGGCAUUAGUAUUCAAUUGUCAGAGGUGAAAUUCUUGGAUUUAUUGAAGACUAACUACUGCGAAAGCAUUUGCCAAGGAUGUUUUCAUUAAUCAAGAACGAAAGUUAGGGGAUCGAAGACGAUCAGAUACCGUCGUAGUCUUAACCAUAAACUAUGCCGACUAGGAAUCAGACGAUGUUAAUUUUUUAAUGACUCGUUUGGCACCUUACGGGAAACCAAAGUGU